UGGGGAAUAUUGCACAAUGGAGGGAACUCUGAUGCAGCGACGCCGCGUGAACGAAGAAGGCUUUCGAGUCGUAAAGUUCUUUUAUAUGGGAAGAUAAUGACGGUACCAUAAGAAAAAGCCCCGGCUAACUACGUGCCAGCAGCCGCGGUAAUACGUAGGGGGCUAGCGUUGUCCGGAAUCACUGGGCGUAAAGGGUUCGCAGGCGGAAAUGCAAGUCAGGUGUAAAAGGCAGUAGCUUAACUACUGUAAGCAUUUGAAACUGAAUAUCGUGAGAAGAGUAGAGGUAAGUGGAAUUUUUAGUGUAGCGGUGAAAUGCGUAGAUAUUAAAAAGAAUACCGGUGGCGAAGGCGACUUACUGGGCUCAUUCUGACGCUGAGGAACGAAAGCGUGGGUAGCAAACAGG
rnacentral:rRNA from 1 species